GACCAGGAACCAGGGAGUGCUUGCACUCUUGAGACUACAAAGCCUGCCUCCCACAGCCCUUGGUUGCUCCCUCCGUUCCAGCAUGCAAUCCCCAUAAGGCCCUGCAAGAUGUCUUGAUCUACAAGGCUAAGAAUGGAUCUUGGUCUUGGGCUGCCUGUUGUUCAGUGUCUGGUUUUCUAGUUGGUUAAGAGCCUUCCAUUGACAACGACAGAAGAAACAUGUAGCUUUAACAGCUCUGCCCAAUCCCCUAAACAGCAUCAGAUGCCAAAGACCCGAAGAUACUUCAUGGGAUAAAAACACCUCUAAUACAAUUUGCAGUAUUUUAAACUAAGAAAGACACUCAUUAAUUGAUUUUAGUGGAGGAAGAGGGCAGUUUUGGGAGAAGGCAGAAAUUGGUGUUGGGAAGCAGGAGGAAGAGCUCAUCCAUCUUGGAGUGUUGAUGUUCGUAUUCAUAUAUAAACCACAGUGAAGGGCAGCCCAGGUGGCUCAACCCACAGCCACAGCCACAGCCGCCUUCAGCCCAGGGAGUGAUCCUGGAGACCCAGGAUUGAGUUCCACGUCUAGCUCCCUGCACAGAGCCUGCUUCUACC